AUUCACCUAUUUCUAAUUAAUUACCAAUAGGUUUUCAAGGUACUGCAACAUUUAGGGACAAGUUUUGUUGUUGAUUGAUCCACAGGGUGUUACAGCCAAUUGAUGAGCAUUGGCGUUUGGUAAAUGGCCAAGGCGCCCCCUGCUGGCCAUUUCAGGGACAUCUUAAUCGUCUCUGUAGAUCUGUAUACGUUCCUGCUAAAUGCAUUACACCGAUUUUCAAUGAUACAAGACUACGUAGACACUUAGUACAUCAGUGAAAUUGCAGAUCGGCAACUUUUGCAAGUCUGUUGACAAUUAUGUCAUUAGGAUAGGAAAGUAUAAAACCACUCUGUGGAUAGUGUUGAAAACAAAUACUUCAUAUCUGAAUUCUGCCAUCUUUAUGCAACUUUGCCAUUUUACUUCUGAUAAUGGAAGAACAAUUGAAAGACAUUGCUGUAGUUCUUCUGAUGUUUGUCUAUUUGCUUGUCCCUUGCUGCUAGAAUUGCAAUCUGUAUUCCAAGAUCUGCAGCUUCAUGAAAAAUGUCAGCUGGAUUUCACAGUUUCCUUACUAGAUGCAGUGUUUGUGGGUGUACAUGAUGCUGUGCCUCCAAGGGAUAGACUACCAGUGGUGAAUGGGAUCGUGUUCUACAAGCAAUAUUCACCCGAAGACGGGCUUGUCAUCAGACAUCUUAUAGUUUAGCUUUGCCAGAGGCUAGACUCCCAUUGUGAUGCCUCGGACUCUGACGAUGACACGGACUACAAAGUAUCCUGUUACAACAAUCUACAUUAAUUUGGGUCCCCUGGCCACACCCAGCAAUUUAAACUAGCAUUGAAUCAAUACUUUCAUGUUAUUUAUCUAUUUAAAAUGAUUAAAUUGUUGGCUUUGAAGACUUCCUCCAGUACUUCUGUUUUUAAAAGCAAUAUGCCAAGCUUAACUGCAGACUUCAAGGAGUUGGUCUGAGUGACUUAGUGAUGUGCAAAUUCCGUGUUUUGUGCAGCUGUAUAAAGAUACCAGUUGGACUGACUGUGUAAACCCAGCCAGUAGUUGAUUGUCUCCAACAGGGUAAAAGAUAAUGACUGCCUGUGUAAAUGCAGCCUUUGCUCAGGGGUAUACAACUCAUACCCUACAAGGUCCAGCACCUGCUGGUUUUGUUCUGCUAAUGACCUUGUGUUCCAGGUCUGAAAUCAGUCCCAAAAAUUCCAGUCUUGAAUUUGAGGAACUUACAGCAUCCAGGAAUGUUUACUUGUUUUGAGCCCUUUUCUCUAGGCUUAAUUAGCUGUCAAAUGGGGCAGAGAUUACAUGACUUCUACUUGGACACUAAGUGUUACCCAACAUUAUAGCAAAACCCUUAGCAUGCUCAUUGUGACAAACUGUCCUCCUUUAGCACAUGUUUAUGCAGUUGACUCAAUACAGUACCUCAUGCUUGCAAUUUAAGCCUGCGUGGAAGGCGCAAUCUGCAGUUGCUUUUGGGGCGUUUAUGCCCAUUGACUUUAUAUAGUGGAUUUGAAAGUAUUCAUACCCCCUCACCACAUUGUUCAAAAGUGGAUAAAAUCUUACUUGGACAGGUUUUUAGAAAUGUUUGCAAAUAUAAGGUCUGUACUCCAGUCAUGUGAAGUCAAUGAAAGCCUAAUUUAAAUGUACAGCUUCUUGUAUUGCAUCAUGAUUGUCAGUAUAAUCGCUUCAAUUCAAACAUUUACCCCUGGUGGGAUAUACAAUGAACUGUUUCACCAUUAACACCUUCCUGGUACAUGUGCUGGGCUAAUAAUUUUUCCCUACACCACAGUAGGUAGCAUCAUAGGCCACUUCAAACAAUCUUAAUGUUCAAGAACCAUGUCUUCCCCCCCAAUAAAAAUCAAUGUUAGAACAGACAAGGUUCAUUUAAACGUCAUGAGGGCAGUGGGCAUUCCAUGGAAUGGGGAGUUAGUAUGUCACUUACUAAACUAGUUUGACGUUCAAGUGUAGAAUUGCAUAAGCAGUUUGCAUGCACGUUGUGCUGUGAUCACCCACAUUGGUGACAGCUAUCUCAAAUCAAUUGCUAAACAUGCCCCAUGCUGUAACUCAGGGGCACAACUUGUUUUUAACUUGGGAGGGUCCAUAUAUUAUCUAGUCGGAUAAACACUAAACAGCCUACCCGACCACUCGGAGGCGUCUGCAGGGUCCUUAAGCGCACUCAACCCGUCCCAAUCCCUCAGACCCUCCACUCUCACCAAUAACCACCAUUGAAUCUUAGAAUGACAAGGAAUGGAAUGACUAAGCAUCCUUUCCUAAUCUAUCCAGAACUCAAUGUCACAGCAGGUUUGCAAGUCCAAAAUAAAAUAGUAUGGUUAAAUCCGUCCUUCCCAAGUCUAACCCAUCCCUCACCACCUCCUUUUACCUCACCAAGCUUGUCCCAACCUUACGUAUCCACUUAGUCAUUCUCCCCCGACAUACCUUAUGCCGCCACAGCCACGCCUACACCUGUAUUCACCAUCCUAUUCUGAUAUGCAUGCAAUAUGUUUCCCUUUGACAUUUAUUUUUCAGUGUCCGUGUAGCCUAUUGUUAUCGGCUACUUCUACUGAUAAGUCAGUUAUUUGGGGAAAGUAGGUUAGAGGGAAAGGAUAUUGUCUCAAUUUAGCCUAGUGCACUCUUUUUCCUACUUCGUCCUUUUCUCAGAGCACUGGGAAGGUUUCUUGUAGCUGGAUUAGGGCUUCAUCGGCACUUGUGAAUUCUAUCUUUGCGUUGUUCCCUUCAAUACCUACAGCACUGCCCUGAAGCGGAACAGAGGCUUGAUCCCCUUUUCCUCCAGUGACUGAUCAGAAUAUAUUCCUUGCGCCCCGCUCAGCCUAGGAGAAGUCAUGGACGACUCAAAUAGUCAGACUAACUCAUGGAUACCAUUUUUAGAUCUCUGCGUGCAGGUAAACGUAAGGUAGAAACGCCUGUUAGCAAUUGAGCAAAUGCUAGUUAGCAACUUCAAACUGCACACAGAGCCAUAAAAAAAGAUGGUAUCCAUCAGUUAAUCUGAUAAGUAGUAGAGAUUCUGGCAAUCAAGCCAUCUUUUUAAGCCUAUUCAGUCCUUUCAGGUCUGAUCUUAGAAUGGAUAGGGUCUGAUAUUGAACUGAAAUACUUACCAGUGCUGCAAGAAAUGACCAAGUCCACCAUCCUGACUACCAAUCCUGCCUGGAGAACAGUAUUGGAUGGACCACCGCCACACCGUUCACCAAGAAGUAAAGAACGGAGUAAGUGCCUUACUUACACCUGUCAAUUUCCAUAGUCUGUUUCUUACUGUAGUCACCUGGCCAAAGACAAAGGGCUGUCAGAGUGACCAGGUAUUUGGUCCUUCCUGUUCUUUUCCUAUCUUUCAAGGGCACAGCUGUGUGGAGAAAUGAAGAGAAAAGGCUAGUUGUUUGAGCAGCAGAAACUAUUCCAUCAGCAGAAAGGAGCAACAAAACUGCCAUUAUCACUUGUUUCUAUGCUCCCACUAUGACCUCACACACCUGCUAAACUGCCACAGACAAAAGAGACCCAACUCGUGUUUGUUGGGCUCUUCACUGUUGCACCUGUCGUGUGAUUGUUAACCAGCUCCAUUUUUGCAAAUCUUAUAAUAGAAUAAGUUGAGGAAUCUACAAUCUCGCUCUUCCCUUCGGGUUAGAAUUAACACCACUGAGGCUCAGAGGAAUAUGGCAGUCAGCUGCUGCCACUCCUGCAAGGUAGAUGUGGCAAAGCUAUGGGCCUGAUGAUGACACAGAAGACAGGGCAUGAAAUCAGACAGGGCACCCAGGAUGGUAUUGGGAACACAAACUGGUGUAUAGCUCAUCUAAAAAGAGCAUUUGCCAAAUGUAAUAUAGCCUUUAGCUUUCUGUAGCGAGGGCAGCAGUCCAGUCAUUUGCUGUUGUACCAGACAAUGAAGAACGACAUGUCCUGACACCUACAGGGGAACAUAAAGAAUCAUUCUCCUAUACGGUUAUGACGAUACACUGGCCCAGACACAGUUCAGAUAGAGCCCUACUAGAUACUACACUAAAGAGAUCCAUAGACACACAUUUUAGAUUUGCGAAUCAGUACCUCCAUCUAGAUCUUACAGCUGACUUCUCUGGGGAACCAAGGCACAGGUUUCAUUUACAGUGUAUGUGGUUUCCGCUCCAUUCUCAACUACUCUGACCCAUACUGCUUAGCAUCUAGAGGGGGGAAAGGGAUUGAAAAAAAAGUAGCAAAUGAUUUUAAAUUUGGUUUAACAGGCACAGUGAGAGCCAGAGAUACUGCAGGAGAGACUUCCUGUCAGCAUCAGCUAUCAAAUCCUGGCCUACAGCAUUAAGGCCAAGACCUGUUAAGAUGCCAUGUCAUCUCAAGUUCUUGAGCUGACCAAACCGGAAUUCCAGCCCAUUUUGUUUCAAAAUAAACUGUAAAAGCCUACUUACCGACAGCAUCAACACGAGGUUUAUUCCCAAUGAAUGAGAGGUCAGUAGUUACCAACAGGUAUCUAUCCUGACGCGCAGUCUCAACAGCCCCUAUAUGGACCAACAACAAGGUGAGAGACUAGUGGGUGGAGGCUAACCAAUUCUGACUAAGAUGGUGUGCACUUUGGCACUUUGAUAUGGGGGGGGNNNNNNNNNNAGGUACGGACAUGUAUUACUCAACCCGUUGCCCCCAGCCCCCACGCCGCCCACCCACCAGCUGUGACGCCAGAGGGAGGGGGGUGGGGUGGGGGUGGGUUUCGCUUUGUGUGUUUGUUUGGUUUGUUUUUUGUGGGGGUGUUGGGGGGGGGGGGGGGGGGUAGUGCUUUGAUUGACCAAUUAGAAGCUUGUUGGGGUUAACAAUGUGCAUGUCCUUAAUUAGAUAAUUGG
rnacentral:lncRNA from 13 species